rnacentral:rRNA from 1 species
GUGGGGAAUUGUUCGCAAUGGGCGCAAGCCUGACGACGCAACGCCGCGUGGAGGAUGAAGGUCUUCGGAUUGUAAACUCCUGUUGACCGGGACGAAUGAGCAUCGACCUAACACGUCGGAGCAGUGACGGUACCGGUUGAGGAAGCCACGGCUAACUCUGUGCCAGCAGCCGCGGUAAUACAGAGGUGGCAAGCGUUGUUCGGAAUUACUGGGCGUAAAGGGCGCGUAGGCGGCCUUCUAAGUCAGACGUGAAAUCCCCAGGCUUAACUUGGGAACUGCGUCUGAUACUGGGAGGCUUGAGUGCGGGAGAGGGAUGUGGAAUUCCAGGUGUAGCGGUGAAAUGCGUAGAUAUCUGGAGGAACACCGGUGGCGAAGGCGGCAUCCUGGACCGACACUGACGCUGAGGCGCGAAAGCCAGGGGAGCAAACGGGAUUAGAUACCCGUGUAGUCC